GAGGAAAACAAUCUUUUUAAAAUGUUUCUCUAUAGUUUACAAAGUGCUUUCACAGGUCAUGUCUGACUUAAACUUCAUAAAACUCCUUUUUCUGUUUCUCAUGUUUUACAGAUGACGAGGACAAAAGUUAUACAUCUUAGUGUUGUUUGCCAAGAAGCAAUAGAGUCAGGCACACCCUCACUCCAGCCCACUGCCUGUGUAUCAGUGGGAAAGGCACAAAGUCAAACCGGCUGCAUCCCUUCACGUGGACAUCUCUCGAAACACACACGAUUCUUUUAUAUGAAUGCCAAGCCUGUGAAUAUCCAGAUCCUAGCAAAUCCUUCAAACUUACACCCCACAGUCAAGCAGCCACCUUUACCUUGUCCACCUGGAGUCUGCCAGCAGGGCCUGGGAUUACAUCUUCUCCUCCCUCCCCCGGCCUCCCCAGUCCUCCUGUCUAUAGCCUGGAUCUGACACC
rnacentral:lncRNA from 1 species